rnacentral:rRNA from 1 species
CCCGCACAAGCGGUGGAGCUAUGUGGUUUAAUUCGACGCAACGCGAAGAACCUUACCUGGAUUUGACAUCUCGGGAAUCUUUAUGAAAGUAGAGAGUGCCUUUCGAGGAACCCGAAGACAGGUGCUGCAUGGCUGUCGUCAGCUCGUGUUGUGAAAUGUUGGGUUAAGUCCCGCAACGAGCGCAACCCUUAUCCCUAGUUGCCAUCAGGUAAAGCUGGGAACUCUGGGGAGACUGCCGGUGAUAACCGGAGGAAGGCGGGGAUGACGUCAAGUCCUCAUGGCCCUUACAUCCCGGGCUACACACGUGCUACAAUGGCAGGUACAGAGGGCUGCGAAGCCGCGAGGUGGAGCGAAUCCCAGAAAACCUGUCUCAGUCCGGAUUGAAGUCUGCAACUCGACUUCAUGAAGGCGGAAUCGCUAGUAACCGCGAAUCAGCAGGUCGCGGUGAAUACGUUCCCGGGCCUU